GAACUGGCAUCAAACAGAAAAUCUAUUUUUCGCCCUGCUCUGCUUGUCUACAGCAUCUGGAUAAGUUGGAGACAGAAUUUGCUAAACUGAAAAGUAUUUAGGGAGAAAAAGUUCUUCAUUUGUACCUUGGCUCUCAGCAGCUGGAUCCUUUAUGGAUGCUCUAAAAGAGCAGUGCAUUAUGACUUUCAGCAUUCCUCCAUAUACUCAUGCACUGAGAAGCUUUUGUGGGAUUUUUGUCUUAUCAGCAGUACGUUAUAAAAAUGUCAACUAUUUCCAAGCCUUUAAAGUUUCAUUGAAGGGACUCUUCUUAAUUUCAGCCCUGGAGUCGAUUUAUGUGUGGUUUGAUCGUCUGUUCCUCCUUCCAUACAGAUGCUAUCAACGUGGGCAGCAGAACAGCCCCGUCACAGCAGAUUAAUGGCAGAAUGUGGCGUUGCUUGUGGAAGCAAAGUAACUAAAGAUGAACAGUGAUGUUGUACCAUAUGAAUAAACUCUGAAAUCAGAAUAAUUUUUCUAAAUGUUUCAGCAUCCUAAGUACAAAGUAAUAACCCUGUCAGGAACAAUACUUGCUGCUCUCUCAUCUGGAUGUGAUGGGAAUUAGCUGCAGGUGUGCCAGUGGUGGGAAGCCAGCAGGCAGUUGCAUGAAAGGAAGAAAGUACACAAGUCCCUUGGUCACAGUGCGGGGGUAGAAACCUAAUCCUGCUUAGAAAACCAGAGCUGCUUUGAGUAUAGCAUUUGGUUUGGUUUCCUCAUGAGAAAGGUAACAGAAAAAAAUGGGAAAAAUAUAUUUUUUUAUCAGACAAAACAUGCUGUAGAUUUUGGUAGAAGAUAGAGGCUGGGUUGGAUGGGGCCUUGGCCAACCUGAUCUAGUGGGUGGCAUCCCCGCCUAUGGCAGCGGGGAUGGAGUUAGAUGAUCUUUAAGGUCCCUUCCAACCUGACCUGUUCCAUGAUUCUGUGAUGAUUCCAUGAUUCUACAGAGAACAGCCUGUGAAAUCCAGAACUAGAGAAGGUGGGUAUAGAAAGGUGGAUGGUGAGGAAAAGCUUGCUGAGCACUCCCUACCUUAGUACAAAAUCAAGGAAGGGCAGAACUUCAGCGAAGGAUGAGAUUUAAUGAUAUUCCUGUUCACCUCACCAAAACAGAAAUAAUCCCGAGGCAUUACCAGGGUGAAGGUUACUUAGCUGUUUUUCAAAUUUGCUGAACUGUUAGCUUAUAGAUUUCCAUGUGCAUUCAUUUUCAGAGGGCCCAGCCAAAAGAUGCUUGAUACUGAGGAAAUUGUGAAAAUCUAACUCCUCAUAGCUGUCUCAAGGAGAUAAUCUAAGUGCUGUGCUCUGACACUCUGGAAAAGUCUCCUGGAGGCAGGUGAAGCACCCCUGUUGCGUGUACUUGUUAUAAAAAUGCACAGGUUGUGGCAUGGUAGGAAAGGCAUCAAUGCAUUUUGGUUCAAGUGUGGUAAGCAUGUUUUGCUUUCGUGGGCAGCUCUUCUAAUGAUUUAAUCGGCAUUGCUGGGUGAUGACCAGGGUGUCAAGCAGGAGCUGGAAACAGGCAGUUUCUCAACCACUAAGUGGCAAGUGGCUUUGGGCUGGCUUUUAUUGCAGGGGGAAAUAAGCUGGUUCCUUCUGAAGCUGUCCUAGAAAAAGUUUAAAUUAUUUCCUAGGUUUGCUUGGUAGCCAGACUACAGGAGAUGUUAGUCUGAGUUUGCAUGGAGGUAGGUUUGGGAUUUCUCUUUCCUAUUGUCAGCAAUCAGGACAGUAUUUUUCAACCCAGACAGUUUUUAAUUUUUAAAGCUGAUGAGUGCCUCACUUGACAGAGUGUUAAACAUUUACAUGCACUGGUAGGGCGCCUCCUUCAUAUCAAACUCAGAUGUCUAAUCUGCAAAAAUAACCCCCAAAACAAACUGAAAACAAUUCAUAUGCAAAAAGCAUGGCCAAAAAACAUUUCUUACUUCUGUGAUCAAAGCAGGAAAUAUCUAGUUUGGUUUGUGCGAUGGGGUUAGGUUUUCUUCCUCCCUGUAACAUAGCUUCAGUCAGAUGUCAGCCAAGAGAUAUGUGUGGAUUGUUCAUCCCCCUGUGGAUUUGUGGGAACACACACUAGGAGACCAGAUCAACAUUGUCAUAGUGCCUGCAUUGAUCUUACACUGUGUUUAUGUGGACUCCAGCCAUUGUUCCUUUCUUCUCCAGCAUCCAGAGGGUAUAAUGGAUUGUUUUAUACAUAAUGGUGAUAAUACUUAGCUGUUGUAUUGCAUUUGUAAGGCAUUUUGUAGCGAAGGUCAAUAUAAUUAUCACCAUUUUGCAGCUGGAAAACAAAAGCAGAGAGACUUGAAGUGCUUUGCCCACAUCCAUGAGUCUCACAGCAGUGAUGGGGCUCAGAAGAGAAGCCCAGAACAAGGCCCUGGCUCCCAUGUCCUGGCUCUGGUGCUCUUUUCCAAGCGGAUAGGGCUGCACAGGGUCCUGUGGCUGUUUCCCCCACAGACAUGUGGUGCUGUUACACCCCAGGCCCCCAGCACGGGUGGCACUUUGUCUCCACAAGAGCACAUGAAGGAUACAGGGCGUGUUAGUUGCCCCAGAAACCUCCCAGGCCAAUUGCUUUGGUCGCCACAAGAGCUACACGGUGGUGGGCACAAAAGGCACAGGUCUCCCAUUGCUGAGACUUGUCUGGAGCCUCUCAGGUGUCCGGGAUGCCUGCUCUGGCAGCUUGUUUCUCCACUGAAUCAUCAGCUCUUUGCCUCGUGCUUCCUCUGGUGACCUAAGGAACCAUGUCCCAUCCUUCCCCACCUCUCUCUGCCAGCCCAAGGGGGUUUGGGAGCAUGGUGCAGCUGCCCUGGACUUCCCCCAGCCUGCCUGCAGCUCCAUCACGAGGCAUGCAAAGACAGCUUCUGCCUAACACUGAACCAAAAGUGUGAUGUGACCAUGGGUCAAGGCCACGAGCUGCUGCACUUGGUAGGCAGGAGAUUUUUGCAUGUUCUCAGUCUGUGCAGAGCACAUCUUAGUGACUAAAACUCCA